ensembl:lncRNA
AUGAUCUCGCUGGGCAGCGGCCGCAGGGCGGGGGGGCCUCUCAGGCUCCUCGAAAUUGGAGGUGUCAUCCUCAGAACGCAGAGACGGAACGAACGGAGGGAGCGCUGGAGGAGACGAGAGGAGAAAACCUGUGAGGUGGUCGGUACGUGGAACACUGACGAGGCUCUGACGGCAGCGAGGCUUUAUUGUGCUUCAGAACGAAUGAACUUAACUCCGAGCACCGAAGGUCUUACCGUGUCUCAGGUUGGUCCAGUCGACGGAGGAGAAGAACGGAUGCGAGCGCAGGCCCUCGUAUCCCAGACGCUCCCGCGAUCCACAUAACAAACUCUGCAGCAGGUCGACAAACUGUACGCUGGCUUUGGGCUCCUCUGGGAACUUCAGGAAACGCUGGCAGCAAAACACAAGCAAGAAAACAUCAAUGUUUGUAUGCAGAGCUGGGUGAUAUAAUUUCGCGAACUAAAUCAAACAAAUAAGUUACACAAAAAAAUAAAUCUCUUAACAUGUACAAACUGAGGCUUUGUCUGUGCUCUUUUUUUAUUUAAAAUGAGAGGCAACCACUGCAUUUGAAUCAUGAUCCAAACAAAGAUGCAGCAUACAUGCAACAUGAGCAGCUUUUUAUCUAAAUUAGACUGUAUAAUUUAGAAAUUUGAUUUCAAAAAUUAAUUGCAACAAGUAAAAUAGUAUAAUUAUUAAAAGUUAAACAUAAUGAUGUCAUGAUUUCACAUUGUUUAUCAUUGAAUAAAUAAAAGGAAAAUUAUACGGAAUUAUGCAUUAUACACACUUGCAUUAUAAAACCACAUAUUUUCACUAAACAAUUUGUGCAGCAAAAUGAAAAAUUCUGGAAUGCACACAAAUCAGUGAAUCUGUGUUUAGAACUUUCUCAUUAUCUUGGAAGACAAAGAGUGUAAUUCAGACUGAACUCCCAAACAUCACACCAUCAGCAGGAGCCGCUGGACUCACCUGAAAGUUCAUGAUGUUGUUGAUGGUUUUUGUGGACGUGCCGUCAGCGAAGGGUGAUUUCAUGUAGAUCAGUUCAUAAGCGAUGACGCCCAGGGACCACCAGUCGCUCUCGGGGCCGUAGCUGCACGUCGGCCCUCCGUUGAGCGUGGACAGGAUCUCAGGGGCCAGGAAGUCUUGAGUGCCCACCGGGAGCUUGGAGCACGUCACCUGCCCCAGAUAACAACACAACAUUCAAUUCAUCUGUGUCCAAACUCUGACUGUUUAAAGUGGAUGUGAAACAUGGUCCAUUAACACCACACUUAAACAUCAAACUCAGGGCGCACGUGAUCGGUCCUUUCUGAACAGAUGGAAAUGUUCCUCUCUGAAUGAGGUGACAUCAGAAUGACGUCUUCACACUCAUUACCGUUCUGUUAGACGUCAGUCUGGCUGCCGAUCCGUAGUCAGCCAGUUUAAUGUGACCCGUCCGGUCGAUCAGAACAUUCUCUGGUUUAAUAUCUCUGACACAAGAAGGAGAAGAAGAAAUGAAUGAGGACAAGAAACAAGAACGAGAGGAUUUAGUAAGAANNNNNNNNNAAUAAAAUAAAAUAAAAUAAAAUAAAAUAAAAUAAAAUAAAAUAAAAUAAAAUAAAAUAAAAUAAAAUAAAAUAAAAUAAAAUAAAAUAAAAUAAAAUAAAAUAAAAUAAAAUAAAAUAAAAUACAAUAAAAUAAAAUAAAAUAAAAUUAAAUUAAAUAAACUCUUUGUUAAGUCUAUAAAAUCAAAAUUGGUGUCUAGCAUAUUCCAGUUUAUUUAUAAAUGUUAAAAUAAACUUAUCAGGUAAACACAUUUAGAAUUUAGUCAAAUGUGACUACACAAAAUAGAAACAAGACAAAAUAAAAUAAACUCUCUUAACUCUCUGUUAAGUCUAUGAAAUUAAGCUUUUCGCAGGAACAACACAUUUACAAUUCCUCUCUUCCAGGACAAAAAACAACAUGCACUCAGAUGCGUAUACAGUGAAAUAUUCAACAGAAAGAGAAUGUCUAAUACCUUUCUAGCAACAGAAAAUAGUAAAUCAUGGUAAUGUUUGGGACAAACUAAAGGAUUUCGCUAGUUAACAAAGACAACAGUGUGUGUUUCGUUGUACCGGUGCACGUAUCCCAUCUGAUGGACCGAGUGAAUGGCCUGCACGAGCUCCGCCAGGUAAAACUGAGCCAUAGACUCGUCUAACUGAUCUUCAUAUCUGUUCAUCAAAGCCAUGAGAUCACCGCCGGGCAGAAACUCCAUCACCUGGACAAAACAUGAACACAUGGACAGCAUUUGAUGCAAAGGAUUCAGUCAAAAACAUCUCUCAAACAGCUCUCAAAAGUUCUUGGACACUUCAGUCACACUUAAAAAAUAUUAUAAAUAUCAUGGCAUUAGAUAGCAAAAUACUAAACAAAUGCUGCAGGAUUUUUCUUCAUCACUUUUGCAUUUAAUCAGCUAG